rnacentral:rRNA from 1 species
UUUAAAAGACCUAGCAAUAGGUAUGCUUAGGGAAGAGCUUGCGUCACAUUAGUUAGGUUGUGGGGUAAUGGCCUACCAAGACGAUGAUGUGCAACCGGGCUGAGAGGUCGAACGGCCACAUUGGGACUGAGACACGGCCCAAACUCCUACGGGAGGCAGCAGUAAGGAAUUUUCGGCAAUGGAGGAAACUCUGACCGAGCAAUGCCGCGUGAACGAUGAAGUAUUUCGGUACGUAAAGUUCUUUUAUUAGGGAAGAAAAGAUGGUGGAAAAACCAUUAUGACGGUACCUAAUGAAUAAGCCCCGGCUAACUAUGUGCCAGCAGCCGCGGUAAUACAUAGGGGGCAAGCGUUAUCCGGAAUUAUUGGGCGUAAAGGGUGCGUAGGCGGUUAAAUAAGUUUAUGGUCUAAGUGCAACGCUCAACGUUGUGAUGCUAUGAAAACUGUUUAGCUAGAGUUGGAUAGGGGCAAGUGGAAUUCCGUGUGUAGCGGUAAAAUGCGUAAAUAUACGGAGGAACACCAGAAGCGAAGGCGGCUUGCUGGGUCUUAACUGACGCUGAGGCACGAAAGCGUGGGAAGCAAACAGGAUUAGAUACCCUGGUAGUCCACGCCCUAAACGAUGAGUACUAAACGUUGGAUAAAACCAGUGUUGAAGUUAACACAUUAAAUACUCCGCCUGAGUAGUACGUACGCAAGUAUGAAACUUAAAGGAAUUGACGGGACUCCGCACAAGCGGUGGAUCAUGUUGUUUAAUUCGAAGGUACCCGAAAAACCUCACCAGGUCUUGACAUGCUUUUGCAAAGCUGUAGAAACACAGUCGAGGUUAUCAGUUGCACAGGUGGUGCAUGGUUGUCGUCAGCUCGUGUCGUGAGAUGUUGGGUUAAGUCCCGCAACGAGCGCAACCCUUGUUGUUAAUUGCCAUCAUUAAGUUGGGGACUUUAGCAAGACUGCCAAUGAUAAAUUGGAGGAAGGUGGGGACGACGUCAAAUCAUCAUGCCCCUUAUGACCCGGGCUACAAACGUGAUACAAUGGCUGUUACAAAGGGUAGCUAAAGCGUAAGCUUCUGGCGAAUCUCAAAAAAGCAGUCUCAGUUCGG